GUGAGGAAUAUUGGUCAAUGGGCGAGAGCCUGAACCAGCCAAGUCGCGUGAAGGAAGAAGGAUCUAUGGUUCGUAAACUUCUUUUGCAGGGGAAUAAAGUGCAGGACGUGUCCUGUUUUGUAUGUACCCUGAGAAUAAGGAUCGGCUAACUCCGUGCCAGCAGCCGCGGUAAUACGGAGGAUCCGAGCGUUAUCCGGAUUUAUUGGGUUUAAAGGGUGCGAAGGUGGUUUGAUAAGUCAGCGGUGAAAGUUUGCAGCUUAACUGUAAAAAUGCCGUUGAAACUGUCGGACUUGAGUGUAAAUGAGGUAGGCGGAAUGCGUAGUGUAGCGGUGAAAUGCAUAGAUAUCACGCAGAACUCCGAUUGCGAAGGCAGCUUACUAAGCUACAACUGACACUGAAGCACGAAAGCGUGGGGAUCAAACAGGAUUAGAUACCCCGGUAGUCC
rnacentral:rRNA from 1 species